AGUUGGUGCAGGGGUCAGAUGGGACACGGGGAGCGGGCAUAACACAUGCCAGUCGAAGCGGACGGGGUGUAUUAGUAAAGGUAGCUAGCGGGGUACGGAAUGAGUUAAUGAUUAGAUAUUGGCCUAUUGGGGGGGCUACCAUUCGGAAAGGGGUUAUUGAUGCCGCGUGCAUCCUACGGGAGAAAGCUGGGGGUGUUUAGGACCAUGCAAUAAUAGAUGAGGCAUAAGUCGGAUUAGAUAGUGUAUGGGGUAAAGGGCCUACCAAGACGACGAUAUGUGGCGAGUCUGAGGGGGAUGAUCCGCCACACUGAGACUGAGACACGGCCCAGACUCAUACGGGAGGGCAGCGGUGGGGGAAUAUUAGACAAUGGGGGGAGCCCUGAAUCCGGCCAUGCCGCGUGUGUGGAGAAGGCCUUUGGGUUGUAAAGCACUUUAAGUGGGGGAGGAGGGCUUACCUGGUUAAUACCUGGGCUAAGUGGACGUUACCCACAGAAUAAGCACCGGUUAACUCUGUACCAGCAGCCGCGGUAAUACAGAGGGUGCGAGCGUUAAUCGGAUUUACUGGGCGUAAAGCGCGCGUAGGUGGCUAAUUAAGUCAAAUGUGAAAUCCCCGAGCUUAACUUGGGAAUUGCAUUCGAUACUGGUUAGCUAGAGUAUGGGAGGGGAUGGUAGAAUUCCAGGUGUAGCGGUGAAAUGCGUAGAGAUCUGGAGGAAUACCGAUGGCGAAGGCAGCCAUCUGGCCUAAUACUGACACUGAGGUGCGAAAGCAUGGGGAGCAAACAGGAUUAGAUACCCUGGUAGUCCAUGCCGUAAACGAUGUCUACUAGCCGUUGGGGGAUUUGAUCCUUUAGUGGCGCAGCUAACGCGAUAAGUAGACCGCCUGGGGAGUACGGUCGCAAGACUAAAACUCAAAUGAAUUGACGGGGGCCCGCACAGGCGGUGGAGCAUGUGGUUUAAUUCGAUGCAACGCGAAGAACCUUACCUGGCCUUGACAUAGUAGAAACUUUCCAGAGAUGGAAAGGUGCCUUCGGGAAUCUACAUACAGGUGCUGCAUGGCUGUCGUCAGCUCGUGUCGUGAGAUGUUGGGUUAAGUCCCGCAACGAGCGCAACCCUUUUCCUUACUUGCCAGCAUUUCGGAUGGGAACUUUAAGGAUACUGCCAGUGACAAACUGGAGGAAGGCGGGGACGACGUCAAGUCAUCAUGGCCCUUACGGCCAGGGCUACACACGUGCUACAAUGGUCGGUACAAAGGGUUGCUACACAGCGAUGUGAUGCUAAUCUCAAAAAGCCGAUCGUAGUCCGGAUCGCAGUCUGCAACUCGACUGCGUGAAGUCGGAAUCGCUAGUAAUCGCGGAUCAGAAUGCCGCGGUGAAUACGUUCCCGGGCCUUGCACUCAC
rnacentral:rRNA from 1 species